rnacentral:rRNA from 1 species
AAUCAACGCUGGCGGCGUGCCUCAGACAUGCAAGUCGAACGAUUAAGACUUCCUUCGGGAAGUGCAUAAAGUGGCGCACGGGUGAGUAACACGUAAGUAAUCUACCCUCGAGUGGGGAAUAACGUUCGGAAACGAACGCUAAUACCGCAUAACGCAGCGGCACCGCAAGGUGACAGUUGUUAAAGGAGUAAUUCGCUUGAGGAGGAGCUUGCGGCAGAUUAGCUAGUUGGUAAGGUAACGGCGUACCAAGGCUACGAUCUGUAUCCGGUCUAAGAGGACGGUCGGACACACUGACACUGAAUAACGGGUCAGACUCCUACGGGAGGCAGCAGUCGGGAAUUUUGGGCAAUGGGCGAAAGCCUGACCCAGCAACGCCGCGUGAAGGAUGAAGUAUUUCGGUAUGUAACCUUCGAAAGAAUGGGAAGAAUAAAUGACGGUACCAUUUAUAAGCUCCGGCUAACUACGUGCCAGCCGCCGCCGUAACAC